CCCGCGCGGCCGCGACCCUCCCCGCCCGCCCGCAGGUGGGGGGAGCCCGGCCCGCCCCUUCCAGGCGCGCGGGUUUCUCCCGACAGCGUCGCGGAACCCGGAAAGCCGGGCGCUAGGGCUGCGUCUGCUGGGGCUGUGCUCGGGUCGCUUCCUCAACCUCCCGGAAACUGCAAAUUCCUCUGCGAGCCGUCCGCCCGCCCCCAGCCUCGCUGGCUCGAGUUUCGGAGAGGGCGGGAGCAGAGCGGGGAACUUUCUCUGCGUCCACUCCCUGCUCGCCCCCGCACCAGGGUCCUGUAGGGGUGGGUGGGGGUUGCCCGGCCGAGGGACCCCCCAGGUCCCACGGCUUCCUGCAGCCGCAACGCCCAGUCCUGAACCCCAGCAGCUCGCCCCUCCAGGAGGAUUUCAAGUUGGCAGAGAUGGGUGGGGAGGUCAAAAACUGGGUUGAGUUUAUUCGAAUGAAAACAUCCUUUCUGGUCAUUCAUUUGAGCUUCGGUCUUACCCUUUUCCCCUUCUUUCUAGCGAGGGCUCACUUCCAAAUAAGAUCGUUAUCUUAGGCGCACUCAGUGCAACUGAAAGGUGAACUAGUUCUAUAGUUACAGAACAAUCGAGUGCUUAUCAAUUAAAUGUGCUUUGUAAAUGUCCCCGCCACAAUCAGCCUUCCACGGUCACCCACAAGGCAUGGUUUAAGUGGUGGGGAUAAGGAGAUCAGGGAAUUCCAUCCAUCCACGUACAAAAAAAGUUUCCAUGUUUUCUAAAACUCUUCAGUCAGCUAAUCCUCUUAAAGCCACCAGUGGGUAACAGUCUUUUACACCUUGGUGUUACUGCACUGAUUUAAAUAAUACUAAUUUCAAGAUCUUGACUGAAAGGUUUUUUUGAAGCUGCAAGCCCUGCUAUAGUUAGCGAGCUUCAGAAGAGGUUUCAUUAGGAGGGGAAGAGAGACGUUAGAAAAGAGAAAAUGUCCAUCCAUCAUAGCCAAACUAGCCAAACUCUCUUACAUUAUCUCCUUCAAUCCUCCGAGCAACUCUGCAAGGUACGUAGUGCUAUUUUAUGCCGGUUUUACACCUAGAGCAGCAGCUGAGGCUUAAAGAAAGGAAAGUGGCUGUAGGAGGCAGUACUCGGACCGUUCUGCUUUGCGUUCUGUUGAUCUGAACGUGGUCACAUACCCUACUGGGUUCUCUGCUUGGUAUCGGUCAGCCGUGCUCUUUUGUGGACUACAGGAGGAAGAGUUGGACCCGAAAUGACGGGAAGGAGAGAAGAAUUGACUCAUGAGUCAUCCUACUGUCCCUAGGCUGAAAGAAGGCUUGCAAACCUGCUCCACCUUCGGGCUUACACAUCCAUCUUGUAAACUAGUAUAUAUUACCCCACGUGAUUCACAACAACUCCAGAAGGAGGGCCUUUGAGUUACAGCCCAUUUUAAAGGUCCUACAACAUUAAAGUCUUCUUCUCGGCCACACAGCUACUGAAUGAUAGGAAGCCAGGAAUUCUAACUCCAUAUAGUUUCACCCAGCUUAAGCUGAUCCGUGUGUGUGCCAUGCACAUAAUCUAAUGUAGGAGAAUAGGGCUUUAUGACAAAUUUUUCUUAUUUGGUUUCUCUUAUUUCAUUAUUCAGAUAUAAUAUUAGCGCAGCUCUUAUUAAAUAUUCCAAGGGGCUUCUAGAAGCAGAGCUGAGGCUGGGAGAUUAAUGCUGUCCUCAAAGUGAAGAGUCACCACUACUUGUCAAGUCAUGUCAUCUCUGCAGCCACGUGCAUUUUGUAAACUGGGAAGAAUAAACAGACAUUUCUGACAUUUUUGCUUGAGAUUUAACCUCAGCGCGUCAAGAGAUAGAGAGGGGAACAGAAAUAAAUAAAAUGUGGCUAAAUAAGGACUGUUUAUCACAAACACAAGGCAGAGAUCUGGUGACCAUAUCUGACUUUGAAAUCUGUGUCUCCAGGAAGAGGAACAUCACACACCAGGGCCUGAUGUGGGGUGGGGGGAGGGGGGAGGGAUAGCAUUAGGAGAUAUACCUAAUGUAAAUGACGAGUUAAUGGUUGCAGCACACCAACGUGGUACACGUAUACAUAUGUAACAAACCUGCACGUUGUGCACAUGUACCCUAGAACUUAAAGUAUAAUUUAAAAAAAAAAAAGAAAUCUGUGUCUCAUGACAACAGCUUUAGGAAAAUAGAAAUGCUUUUUUGUUCAAGAAAGGCAUUCCAGGGAGAAAUUGAGCCUUCUUAAUAAAUACAAGUAAGAGACCUAACAGUGCCCUCAGAAUUUCUGUGGAGGCCUUAGUGGUAGCCUAAGCUGGGCUGCAUAAAUUGUCCAUAUCAAAGGAAAAUUGCUGAUGGAUAUAAUUCAGCAAUUGUUCUCCCUUGUUCCCUGCUGUGCUAUAUCCAUGCCAUAGCUAUAGCUACAUCCACUCUUUCACUACCUUAAGUACUGAGAUCUUAUUAUAUGCAUAGCACCAUGGAAACUGGGUAAGACAUAAAAGAAGAGUUAGAUAGAUUUCUGGCCUUCAAAACCUUAUAAACUAGUUAACGAAAAAAAUAUUCCCCAUAGAACAAUUAUGUAAUGAUAACAGACUGUGAUUACCCAAUCAAUAAACCUGUGAAGAAUGUGUCAAAAUAUAAGCCAAAGUCAGAAGAAUGUGAUAAGAUUUGGUCAAGGGCCGGGCAAGGUGGCUCACGCCUGUAAUCCCAGCACUUUGAGAGGCCAAAGUGGGCAAGUCACUUGAGGUCAGGAGUUCUAGGUCAGCUUGGCCAACAUGGUGAAACCCCAUCUCUACUAAAAAUACAAAAAAAUUAGCUGGGCAUGGUGGCUUGUGCCUGUAAUCCCAGCUACUCGGGAGGUGUGGAAGGAGAAUUGCUUGAACCCGGGAGGCAGAGGUUGCAGUAAACUGAGAUUGCACCACUGCACUCCAGCCUGGGUGACAGAGUGAGACUCUGUCUCAAAACAAAAUAAAUAAAAGAUUUGGUCAGGAAGCCUUCAAAGGAGGUGGGAUUUAGUUUGAUUCUUAAAGGAGAAGGAUACGUAAGAGGAAUAGAAUAGGAAGUUCAGGGAGAAGACAGGUCACUAGCAAAAACUUAAGCACAAUCUAUUUGCCUGCUAAAUCAAACACUUAAAAUAGGCUAGGUGUGGUUGGCGCAUGCCUGUAAUCCCGGCACUUUGGGAGGCUAAGGUGGGUGGAUCACCUGAGGUCAGGAGUUCGAGACCAGCCUGGGCAACAUGGUGAAACCCCAUCUCUACUAAAAAUACAAAAAUUAGCCAGGCGUGGUGGUGCACGACUGUAAAUCCCAGCCACUAGGAAGGCUGAGGCAGGAGAAUCACUUGAACCUGGGAGGGAAAGGUUGCAGUGAGCUGAGAUUGUGACACUGCACUCCAGCCUGGGCAAUAGAGCGAGACUCUGUCUCAAAAUAAAAAUAAAAAUAAAAUAAAUAAAAUAAAAAAUAAAAUAGGCCGGGUGCCAUGGCUCAUGCCUGUAAUCCCAACAUUUUGGGAGGGUGAGGCAGGUGGAUCACGAGGUCAGGAAAUUGAGACCAGCCUGGCCAACAUGGUGAAACUCUGUCUCUACUAAAAAUACAAAAAUUAGCUGGGUACGGUGGUGCAUGCCUGCAAUCCCAGCUACUCGAGGGGCUGAGGAAGGAGAACUGCUUGAACCCAGGAGGUGGAGGUUGCAGUGAGCGAAGAUCGAGCCACUGCACUCCAGUCUGGGCAACAGAGCAAGGCUCCAUCUCAGGAAAAAAAUUAAAAAAUAAAAUAAAAUGGAGAAAAAUUGACCAGAUAUGUGAAGGCCAACGUGUUAAAAAAAAAUACACUGAGGCUGGGUGCGGUGGCUCACGCCUGUAAUCCUAGCAUUGUAGGAGGCCGAAGUGGGUGGAUCACCUGAGGUUGAGAGUUCGAGAUCAGCCUGGGUGGAUCACCUGAGGUUGAGAGUUCGAGAUCAGCCUGACCAACAUGGAGAAACCCGAUCUCUACUAAAAAUACAAAAUUAACCGGGUGUGGUGGCACAUGCCUGUAAUCCCAGCUACUUGGGAGGCUGAAGCAGGAGAAUCACUUGAGCCUGGGAGGUGGAGGUUGCGGUGAGCUGAGAUCACGCCAUUGCACUCCAGCCUGGGCAACAAGAGCAAAACUCCGUCUCAAAAAAAUAUAUAUAUAUAUACUGAAGAGUUAAGAUUUUAUCUGCAGGGAAUUUGGGAACUAGUGGAGUCAGG
rnacentral:lncRNA from 1 species